rnacentral:rRNA from 1 species
GACGAACGCUGGCGGCGUGCUUAACACAUGCAAGUCGAACGGAAAGGCCCUGCUUUUGUGGGGUGCUCGAGUGGCGAACGGGUGAGUAACACGUGAGUAACCUGCCCUUGACUUUGGGAUAACUUCAGGAAACUGGGGCUAAUACCGGAUAGGAGCUCCUGCUGCAUGGUGGGGGUUGGAAAGUUUCGGCGGUUGGGGAUGGACUCGCGGCUUAUCAGCUUGUUGGUGGGGUAGUGGCUUACCAAGGCUUUGACGGGUAGCCGGCCUGAGAGGGUGACCGGCCACAUUGGGACUGAGAUACGGCCCAGACUCCUACGGGAGGCAGCAGUGGGGAAUAUUGCACAAUGAGCGGAAGCCUGAUGCAGCAACGCCGCGUGCGGGAUGACGGCCUUCGGGUUGUAAACCGCUGUCGCCUGUGACGAAGCGUGAGUGACGGUAAUGGGUAAAGAAGCACCGGCUAACUACGUG